CAGCAUGUAGUUUAUUUAAAAUUUAAAUUUUGGGGAUUUAAGAAGUGUUAUUCACUUUGCUGA
rnacentral:tRNA from 2 species